rnacentral:lncRNA from 1 species
UUGAGAAAGAGUGGCUGGGGUAGCACAUCUCUCCAGCCACGAACUAUUUCUUCCCCAGGGCAGUGUUUCCCAAUUAUGCUUUCCUGUCAUCAUCGCCUCCUUCUUGUCUGAGCUCAUCAACGUUGCAGCCAAAUUACUGUGCUGCUAAGUCACUGGGAAAAUCAGGACCCCACACCAAGAUGAUCAUCUCAGAAAUGUACAAAA